rnacentral:rRNA from 1 species
GACGAACGCUGGCGGUGUGCUUAACACAUGCAAGUGGAGCGACGAACCAGGGCUUGCCCUGGGGCAGAGCCGCGAACGGGUGAGUAACACGUGGGUAACCUACCCCGAUGACUGGGACAACCCGAGGAAACUCGGGCUAACACCGGAUGUGUCCGACGUCCACGAGGACGGCGAGCAAAGGAAGCUUCGGCCUCCGCAUCGGGAGGGGCCCGCGGCCCAUUAGAUUGUUGGUGGGGUAACGGCCUACCAAGGCUGCGAUGGGUAGCUGGUCUGAGAGGACGAUCAGCCACACUGGGACUGAGACACGGCCCAGACUCCUACGGGAGGCAGCAGUGGGGAAUCUUGCGCAAUGCGCGAAAGCGUGACGCAGCAACACCGCGUGAGGGAAGACGGCCUUCGGGUUGUAAACCUCUUUCAGGAGGGACGAAGGCCGGCCGGUUAACAGCCGUGCCGGCUGACGGUACCUCCACAAGAAGCUCCGGCUAACUACGUGCCAGCAGCCGCAGUAAAAC